CUGGGCACGCGGGCCGCGGAGGGACGUCCCCGGGAGAACCCGAGCCCGGGCUCUCCUGAGCCCGCGCCGCUGGGCAUGGGCCCGGCCUCCGCGGUGCCCAGGACAGGAGCACAGCUUCCGUUCACUGAGGGGUAAACUGAGUCCCGAGCCGGGAAAGCGCCCAGCCUGGCUCCUGCGGAUCCGUGGGUCUCGAUUCCCGGCCCGUGGCCUGGGCUGCCGCGUGUUAGGUGAGGUGGGCAAAACGGCGCCCUCUGCCGGCUGGGCCGCAUUCACAGACAGGGACGCGACUGGAGAAGGCAAGUUCUGCCCAGGUCCGAAGCGGUGCGUGGCGGGGCUCCGACCUGGCUGUCCCGGGAACGAGACCGGAGUCAGAGGAGUGCGGGCCCAAACAGCGGUCACCCGUGGCUCGCGCACACAGCAGCCGGCGCGUCCUGAGAGGCCCCCUAAGGAGGGUGCAUGGGGAGGGCCUCCCCACAGACAGCGGCAGGCCGAGGGCCUUUCUUCUGCACGGACUUUGGAGCCAAGCACACCUGGGUAUGGAUCUUGACUUUGCUGGUGAAUGUGCAGCCAAUCCUGUCUGCUCCCAGAGCCCAGCUUUUCCUAUGAAACAGAGAGGAGACCCCCUCGCAGAGCUGCAGUGAGGAGCUACAGCGGCAGCAGGAUCUUCUCAAGAUGGAAAUCUGAUGAUGUAACACCGGCACAUCGUGCAUCGUGCAGGACCGUCUGUUCCAGGUGGACCAGAGGCCCCAGAGCAAAGAAGAAAACUGCAAAGCUUUUAGAAGACAAUCCAGCAGAUUAUCCUUAUGGCCAUGGGCUAGGGAAGGAUUUCUUCAACAAGAUGUCAAAAUUAAUGAGUGAAGGAAAAUAUGGAUCAAUUUGACU